AGUGAACGCUGGCGGUAGGCCUAACACAUGCAAGUCGAACGGCAGCACAGUAAGAGCUUGCUCUUACGGGUGGCGAGUGGCGGACGGGUGAGGAAUACAUCGGAAUCUACUUUUUCGUGGGGGAUAACGUAGGGAAACUUACGCUAAUACCGCAUACGACCUACGGGUGAAAGCAGGGGAUCUUCGGACCUUGCGCGAUUGAAUGAGCCGAUGUCGGAUUAGCUAGUUGGCGGGGUAAAGGCCCACCAAGGCGACGAUCCGUAGCUGGUCUGAGAGGAUGAUCAGCCACACUGGAACUGGGACACGGUCCAGACUCCUACGGGAGGCAGCAGUGGGGAAUAUUGGACAAUGGGCGCAAGCCUGAUCCAGCCAUACCGCGUGGGUGAAGAAGGCCUUCGGGUUGUAAAGCCCUUUUGUUGGGAAAGAAAAGCAGCAGGUUAAUACCACGCUGUUCUGACGGUACCCAAAGAAUAAGCACCGGCUAACUUCGUG
rnacentral:rRNA from 1 species